rnacentral:lncRNA from 1 species
CAGCUUGCAACCUCCAGUGUGAGGAAGAACCUGCCUGCUCGACAAUACGCCAGCUGGGGAAUGUGAAGCGAGGGUUCUCCACUUAGGUGAUGAGACUAAGCGUCUCAUCUGCAGCCGGUGUGUGCAAGGUCUGCAUGGGGAUAGCCCAUGUGCUAGUAGAGUAGCAGGGGUCUUAUCAAACUGGCGCUGGAAUAAAUUUGAUAAAAUUUUCCCCCGAAAUGCUUGGGGAUGAAUGAAAUUUUAGAAAUAACCAGUGAUAAAAUUCCAUCAAGGAAUUGAAAUUAAUAAAAUAAAAUAUAUAUCACUAGUAAAAACUGAGAUGUUUCCCUUGUCAUGAAACAUUAUUGAAGGUGUUAGGAAGGUGGAUGGUGGGCGGUAAAUUAAAUAAUAGCACUGUAAAACUAUUUCAACUAGUCAAGCCUGCUAUGAACCAAGAAAGUGAUUAUACAAAGACCAUGCAUAUGGCUUCACACACAGAUAGGGUACAUCAAUCAACAGUGGGAGGAGUCUGGCCUCACUGACCUUUAGAUAAUAUACUAAUUGUUGUGUAAUUAAUUUUUAUAAGAUCUGGUAUCAUAAUCUGCAUUUCUUCACAAACAGUGAUUGUUUAUGACAUGUAUCUGAUUGAGAAAAGAUUAAAGUGUGCCCCCUAGUGAGAUUCCAGUUGUAACUUCAAAGUGUCAAAUGCCA